rnacentral:rRNA from 1 species
UAGGACGAACGCUGGCGGCGUGCUUCAUACAUGCAAGUCGAACGAGAAGCUUACUUCGGUAAGUGGAAAGUGGCGGACGGGUGAGUAAUGUGUAGAGAAUCUGCCCUGAAGUGGGGGACAACAGAGGGAAACUUCUGCUAAUACCCCAUAUGAGCGUAGUUGCGAUACUAUUCUUGAAAGAUUUAUCGCUUCAGGAUGAGUCUGCAUCUGAUUAGCUAGUUGGGGGUGUAAUGGACCACCAAGGCGACGAUCAGUAGCUGGUUUGAGAGGAUGAUCAGCCACAAUGGGACUGAGACACGGCCCAUACUCCUACGGGAGGCAGCAGUAGGGAAUUUUGCGCAAUGGGCGAAAGCCUGACGCAGCAACGCCCGCGUGAUCGCAGACGGCCUUCGGGUUGUAAAGAUCUGUCAGUAGGGACGAACAAUGACUGUACCUACAGAGGAAGCACCGGCUAACUCCGUGCCAGCAGCUGC